rnacentral:rRNA from 1 species
UUGCGCCUACGGGACGCAGCAGUCGAGAAUCAUUCACAAUGGGGGAAACCCUGAUGGUGCGACGCCGCGUGGGGGAGUGAAGGUCUUCGGAUUGUAAACCCCUGUCAUGUGGGAGCAAAUUAAAAAGAUAGUACCACAAGAGGAAGAGACGGCUAACUCUGUGCCAGCAGCCGCGGUAAUACAGAGGUCUCAAGCGUUGUUCGGAGUCACUGGGCGUAAAGCGUGCGUAGGCUGUUUCGUAAGUCGUGUGUGUAAGGCGCGGGCUCAACCCGCGGACGGCACAUGAUACUGCGAGACUAGAGUAA